UGACUCAGCAAAAACGGAGGGCACAACUUAACUCAGUGAAAUAAGCCCGCAAAGGUUAUAAACAACUUGAUCUGUACCAGGAGAGUGCUAAAUAUUGCGAGCAUAUUUUUGGAAUAUAUUAGAAAUAUAUUUUUUGAUGUGUGUAUUUUUGUCAUGUGUUAGGAGAGUUGCUGCUAUAAACAUGUUGUUUUUAACUUGUAUUAGAAGACUGUUAAGUGAGUGAUAACUUUUUGUGAUUGGUGGCAGCCAAUCCACUGCAGAAUGCGACCCUGGCGACGGGUGGACUUAGAAGCCGUAGGUAGCUAGUCUUAAAGCAAACACCAAGCUAAAGGUAGCCAUCUGAGGCGAGUCCAAGACGCGGACGGUAGCCAGCCCCGAAGCAAGCAAGGAAUGUCAACGCCAGCUGCACAUUUUUAUCAAGGCAACCUUCAGAGACAGGGGCCCGUGGGGGCUAGCUGGAACUGGUGGUCAUCCUGGUCCGAGAUCCCGGAGGUGGUGGUCAGGCUGCAAACUGGACUAUCGGUCAUACACUUGAGGGGACACCGUAGUGACAUCAUCACCCUGCGCCAAGAAUCUC